ACCGCGAUAGCUCAGCUAGUAGAGCAUCUGCCAGGUAUGCGGAAGGUCGCCGGUCCGAUUCCAGCUUGCGGCG
rnacentral:tRNA from 1 species